CAUGAACAAAGCAUACUAGCAUAUAUUCGAGGGAUCAAGGCGUGAAAAAAAAUUAUACCUCCUGCUCGUCGCCCUCGACUUCCUCCUCUUCCUCUUCGUCAUCGUCGUCGUCGUCGUCAUCAUCAUCGUCGUCGUCAUCGUCGUCGCCGCCAUCCCCCUCCUCGCCGUCCUCCUCAUCCUCCUCGUCGGAGAUCUCUACGACGGUGUGCCCCGCCGCGCCCUUCUCCCCCUCCUCGGCGUCCUCCUCCUCGUCGUCCCCCUCCUCCUCUCCAUCCCCCUCCUCGUCGCCGUCGCCCUCUUCCCCAUCUACCGCCUCCUCCUCGACCUCCUCCUCCCCGUUCACCACCUCUUCCUCCUCCACCGCCGCCUCCUCCGCCUUCUUGGCCGCCGCCGCUGCAGCAGCAGCGGCCUUCUUCCGGGCAAGCUCCGCCGCCCGCUCGUCCCCCUCCUCCACCUCGACCGCCGGCUUCAUCUCAAGAAGCGAAUCAAAAAAAAUCAAGAAGAAGAAAGAAAUCUCUCCCUUUGCUUUGGUUUGGUGCUGUGGCGGCGGAAAAAUCAGGGGAAAAUUUGGGGCGAAUUUGUAAGCGGCGCGGGGAAGAACAGGGGGCGGGGCGGGGCGGAUGCCUGCGGGGAGAUCCUGGCCGUCCGAGACAAGAACAGUCACGCGGAUCGAUGACGUGGCGGACGAUCGGACGGCUGCGGGGGAUCGGUUCGUGCCUUCGUGGAGGGGGAGGACUCCGGAGUCCGGAGACGGGGUAGGAGGAGAACGCUAGGGCUGACGUCAGCGUGAGGGAGAUUCUUUUUUCCCAAGAAAAUAAAAAAAAACUCUGGAUUCACGCUCUCUUCUAAAUUCUGAUUAUAGUAAAAUAAAAUCAGUUGGUAUACAUUAAGAUUUAGAUUUAUCGCCCAAAAAUAAACUGUUGCAUUUUUUUAUUUACUUUCUUAGAAUGUAAACAUCCCGGCAAAUGACCUCAUGGUCUACCAAAAAUAUUUCUCCUAAUUAAACUUCUCUU
rnacentral:sRNA from 1 species